CAGCAACGCUGCGAGAAGCUCGGUGUUUGCCAGGUGACAGGAUGGAAAGAGCAAUAUGUGGUGCUGUGUUUAUAAGCACUGUCCAAGGAGAAAACUGUUUGACGUGGGAGAGGUGCAGGAUUUCAGUCCUGCAUUGUACUGGGCAGGGGAAGUCUUUGAUGAAUUGCGCUAAAGUGUAGCUGGCUGAAGGAUGAGCGCUCGAUGGUUCAGGGUGAAACGGGCUGGUCCGUCAGCUCCUGACCCGUCUGUCAUCAGUAAACAAAGCCACAGCCAUGUCAGAAUGAAUAUUCAUGAGAUACGAUGUUCUCACCUCUCCUGCAUCAACGGCUCUCUGUUCAACUCUGAUUACCGCACUGCAGAGCCCAUUGUCUCUGUCUUAUGAAUAUGCACCAGCUCAUGUUCUCAACAGGACAACAGUGAUCUAAAGUGGUGGUUUUGUCCCAUGUUCUCCACAGGACAACAGUGAUCUAAAGUGAUCUGGUCCCCCAGAGAUUUUAGUCCCACAACAGGAUUAAUCUGAUGGAUCCCCAGGGAUGUGCGGGGAGAGAUCGAAGUGAAUAAAAAUGUAACUCGUGGUGACAUAAAAAUGUGUUUUUUGGAGAGAGGAGAGGAGCACAAACAUCUCUAUGGCCCCACCCCACCAUAUACACAGCAACAGAAUGAAUUGCUUUAGAGAGACAGAAGAAAUGCCAUUACAUUCAGUUUUAUAAAACAGACACCCCCAACCUGGAGGGCCAGGUUCUUUUAUUUUUCCCACUCUCUCUCUCUCGCACACGCACACACACACACACACACACACAGACAAGAGUGAGCUAUUGAUCCACUUUGAAAUAAUCAUUGCAAAGUUUGCUGAUCUGAAUCUGAUUUGGCUUUUUUUGGCAAUACCAAGACUGGGUAACACAUCCAGGUGACACCAUACGGCUGGUUAGCAGCCCUCUGCUGCCACCAAGUGGUGUACCUCUAAAGUGCAUUAAAGGUAAGAUGUAAAUAACGGGCUAAAUGAAUGCGUAGUGUUAUGUGAGAUGUGGCACAGUCUGCCAUACUUCUGACACUUGAGCGAUAUGUGCGUAAAGACAGGGCUUCAAUUCCCCGCCAUGGCACCUUCUGAGCUGUGGACCCUUCCCCAUGUUUGACUCUCUCUGUUAAAUAUU